rnacentral:rRNA from 1 species
AUCGACAAUCCACGUUAANUUUCACUUUCAUUAAUAAUUUAUAUACCGCCAUCUCAAGAAUUAAUUUAAAAAUAUUAUUCUAAAUAAUAUAUAAAAAGUUAGGUCAAGGUGUAAUCAAUAUUAAAGAAUGAGAUGAAUUACAUUAAAUAUAAUUUAAAGAAAAUCAUUUAAAACAAAUUUAAAUAAGAAUUUAAAAGUAAUAUUAAAAUAAUAAUUCAAUAUGAUUUAAAAUAAAUGUGUACACAUCGCCC